GUAGGCUGGUUUUCCAGGCAAAUCCGGAAAACUAAGGCUGAGGCGUGAUGACGAGGCACUACGGUGCUGAAGCAACAAAUGCCCUGCUUCCAGGAAAAGCCUCUAAGCAUCAGGUAACAUCAAAUCGUACCCCAAACCGACACAGGUGGUCAGGUAGAGAAUACCAAGGCGCUUGAGAGAACUCGGGUGAAGGAACUAGGCAAAAUGGUGCCGUAACUUCGGGAGAAGGCACGCUGAUAUGUAGGUGAAGUCCCUCGCGGAUGGAGCUGAAAUCAGUCGAAGAUACCAGCUGGCUGCAACUGUUUAUUAAAAACACAGCACUGUGCAAACACGAAAGUGGACGUAUACGGUGUGACGCCUGCCCGGUGCCGGAAGGUUAAUUGAUGGGGUCAGCGCAAGCGAAGCUCUUGAUCGAAGCCCCGGUAAACGGCGGCCGUAACUAUAACGGUCCUAAGGUAGCGAAAUUCCUUGUCGGGUAAGUUCCGACCUGCACGAAUGGCGUAAUGAUGGCCAGGCUGUCUCCACCCGAGACUCAGUGAAAUUGAACUCGCUGUGAAGAUGCAGUGUACCCGCGGCAAGACGGAAAGACCCCGUGAACCUUUACUAUAGCUUGACACUGAACAUUGAGCCUUGAUGUGUAGGAUAGGUGGGAGGCUUUGAAGUGUGGACGCCAGUCUGCAUGGAGCCGACCUUGAAAUACCACCCUUUAAUGUUUGAUGUUCUAACGUUGACCCGUAAUCCGGGUUGCGGACAGUGUCUGGUGGGUAGUUUGACUGGGGCGGUCUCCUCCUAAAGAGUAACGGAGGAGCACGAAGGUUGGCUAAUCCUGGUCGGACAUCAGGAGGUUAGUGCAAUGGCAUAAGCCAGCUUGACUGCGAGCGUGACGGCGCGAGCAGGUGCGAAAGCAGGUCAUAGUGAUCCGGUGGUUCUGAAUGGAAGGGCCAUCGCUCAACGGAUAAAAGGUACUCCGGGGAUAACAGGCUGAUACCGCCCAAGAGUUCAUAUCGACGGCGGUGUUUGGCACCUCGAUGUCGGCUCAUCACAUCCUGGGGCUGAAGUAGGUCCCAAGGGUAUGGCUGUUCGCCAUUUAAAGUGGUACGCGAGCUGGGUUUAGAACGUCGUGAGACAGUUCGGUCCCUAUCUGCCGUGGGCGCUGGAGAACUGAGGGGGGCUGCUCCUAGUACGAGAGGACCGGAGUGGACGCAUCACUGGUGUUCGGGUUGUCAUGCCAAUGGCACUGCCCGGUAGCUAAAUGCGGAAGAGAUAAGUGCUGAAAGCAUCUAAGCACGAAACUUGCCCCGAGAUGAGUUCUCCCUGACUCCUUGAGAGUCCUGAAGGAACGUUGAAG
rnacentral:rRNA from 1 species